rnacentral:rRNA from 1 species
UGCCAGCAGCCGCGGUAAUACGAAGGGUGCUAGCGUUGUUCGGAAUUACUGGGCGUAAAGGGCGUGUAGGCGGAGUAUCAGGUGUUGUGUGAAAGCCCCGGGCUCAACCCGGGAACGGCAUGGCAAACCGGUACUCUUGAGGCAGGUAGAGGUGACUGGAACGACUGGUGGAGCGGUGAAAUGCGUAGAUAUCAGUUGGAACGCCAGAGGCGAAAGCGAGUCACUGGGCCUGUCCUGACGCUGAGACGCGAAAGCGUGGGGAGCAAACAGGAUUAGAUA